rnacentral:rRNA from 1 species
UACGUAGGGUGCAAGCGUUAAUCGGAAUUACUGGGCGUAAAGCGUGCGCAGGCGGUUAUGUAAGACAGUUGUGAAAUCCCCGGGCUCAACCUGGGAAUUGCAUCUGUGACUGCAUGAGCUAGAGUACGGGUAGAGGGGGAGUGGAAUUCCGCGUGUAGCAGUGAAAUGGCGGUAGAUAUGACGGAGGAACACCGAGUGGCGAAGGCAUCCCCUGGACCUGUACUGACGCUCAUGCACGAAAGCGUGGGGAGCAAACAGGA